GUCAAGGACAAGGGAGGAUAUAAUAUGGAUGAGAAGCUACAAACCAAAAGAAAUAGAGGAGCAAUGGGGAACAAGUGUAAACACAUUCAAACACACCCAAAACCUCUAAUUCAAUCCUCUUCUUGACUCCUUUAUUCACAAAUAAUUUUUUUUUUAAUUUUCUCAUUUUUUUGUAUUUUUUUUUCAUCUUGUCUCUUUUUUCUUUUUUCUUUUUUUCUUUUCAGAACACAACUCUAAGAGACAAGAUAUACA
rnacentral:lncRNA from 1 species